UACGUAGGGGGGCAAGCGUUGUCCGGAUUUAUUGGGCGUAAAGAGCGUGUAGGCGGCCAGGGAGGUCCGUUGUGAAAACUCGAGGCUCAACCUCGAGACGCCGAUGGAAACCCCCUGGCUAGAGUCCGGAAGAGGAGAGUGGAAUUCCUGGUGUAGCGGUGAAAUGCGCAGAUAUCAGGAGGAACACCGGUGGCGAAGGCAGAUCUCUGGGCCGUAACUGACGCUGAGGAGCGAAAGCGUGGGGAGCGAACAGG
rnacentral:rRNA from 1 species